rnacentral:tRNA from 1 species
UGGCUUAGUGGUAAAGAAUCUGCCUGCAAAGUUGGAGACCCAGGUUCAAUCCCUGG